rnacentral:lncRNA from 1 species
GUGUCUCUUCCCAUGCACCUAUUUGAUGAUAACAAAAAGGGAGAGAAGUAAAGAAAGAGAAAUAAGUUGUAAAACAAAUUGAAAAUUAUAAUGGAAAAGCAUAUACAUUUAAGGGGGAGCAAUUUGUAACAAUGAAAAUGAUCAAAUCUAAAAUUUCUAUUGAAUUUCAGAAUUUGGCACAUAGAAUUUCAGAAUUUGGCACAUACCUUUCACACCUCGAUACAUAAUCUGAAACUCAUGCAUUAUCUCAAAUUUUUGAAGUUUCAUCCUUAAUGAAAUAUAAAAGAAAGGGGGAGCAAUUCAAAAAGUCAAAUUGGAAAAUAUUUGGAUGAAAUAGGGGGAGACUUCACUCUCAUAUUUGAAAAGCUGAAAUUCAGCAACUUGAGUCCUUUUAAAACUGAUUUUAAGAUAAGUAUCAAUAGGCUCAUACUCUAUAUUUUGUAAUCAUCAAAAAGGGGGAGAUUGAGGAUGAUAGUGUUAUUUUGAUGAUUAAC